CCUACGGGUGACAGCAGUGGGGGAUAUUGCACAAUGGGGGAAACCCUGAUGCAGCGACGCCGCGUGGGUGAAGAAGCGCCUCGGCGCGUAAAGCCCUGUCAGCAGGGAAGAAAAUGACGGUACCUGCAGAAGAAGCCCCGACUAACUACGUGCCAGCAGCCGCGGUAAUACGUAGGGGGCAAGCGUUAUCCGGAUUUACUGGGUGUAAGGGGGGCGCAGACGGCGAUGCAAGCCAGAAGUGAAAGCCCGGGGCUCAACCCCGGGACUGCUCUUGGAACUGCGUGGCUAGAGUGCAGGAGUGGCAGGCGGAAUUCCUGGUGUAGCGGUGAAAUGCGUAGAUAUCAGGAGGAACACCGGUGGCGAAGGCGGUCUGCUGGACUGCAACUGACGUUGAGGCGCGAAAGCGUGGGGAGCAAACAGGAUUAGAUACCCUAGUAGUC
rnacentral:rRNA from 1 species